rnacentral:lncRNA from 1 species
AGAAAUCGACCUCAAACUUGGUAUGCAUAGCAGAUGACAUAUUUCUCAAACCAACAAGGGAAAUACAUGCUGUUUUUGCACCAAAAAUAAGGAAAUGACUUCAAAAUUUCCAAAACAUCAAAGGAAAUACAUUUCCUUGCCAAAAUACAAAAGGAAAUCCCUCCAAAGUAAGGACAAGUCUUCAAGUUUCCCAAACUAAGAAGGAAAAUAC